rnacentral:rRNA from 2 species
CACCGCGGUUAUACGAGAGGCCCAAGUUGACAGCCCCCGGCGUAAAGCGUGGUUAAGGCAUACUUUAAAACUAAAGCCGAAUAUCUUCAGAGCAGUUAUACGCAUCCGAAGACACGAAGCCCCACCACGAAAGUGGCUUUAUGACACCUGAUCCCACGAAAGCUAGGACA